AGAGUUUGAUCCUGGCUCAGAUUGAACGCUGGCGGCAUGCUUUACACAUGCAAGUCGGACGGCAGCACGGAGAAGCUUGCUUCUUGGGUGGCGAGUGGCGAACGGGUGAGUAACAUAUCGGAACGUACCGAGUAGUGGGGGAUAACUGAUCGAAAGAUCAGCUAAUACCGCAUACGUCUUGAGAGAGAAAGCAGGGGACCUUCGGGCCUUGCGCUAUUCGAGCGGCCGAUAUCUGAUUAGCUAGUUGGUGGGGUAAAGGCCUACCAAGGCGACGAUCAGUAGCGGGUCUGAGAGGAUGAUCCGCCACACUGGGACUGAGACACGGCCCAGACUCCUACGGGAGGCAGCAGUGGGGAAUUUUGGACAAUGGGCGCAAGCCUGAUCCAGCCAUGCCGCGUGUCUGAAGAAGGCCUUCGGGUUGUAAAGGACUUUUGUCAGGGAAGAAAAGGCUGUUGCUAAUAUCAGCGGCUGAUGACGGUACCUGAAGAAUAAGCACCGGCUAACUACGUGCCAGCAGCCGCGGUAAUACGUAGGGUGCGAGCGUUAAUCGGAAUUACUGGGCGUAAAGCGGGCGCAGACGGUUACUUAAGCAGGAUGUGAAAUCCCCGGGCUCAACCCGGGAACUGCGUUCUGAACUGGGUGACUCGAGUGUGUCAGAGGGAGGUAGAAUUCCACGUGUAGCAGUGAAAUGCGUAGAGAUGUGGAGGAAUACCGAUGGCGAAGGCAGCCUCCUGGGACAACACUGACGUUCAUGCCCGAAAGCGUGGGUAGCAAACAGGAUUAGAUACCCUGGUAGUCCACGCCCUAAACGAUGUCAAUUAGCUGUUGGGCAACUUGAUUGCUUGGUAGCGUAGCUAACGCGUGAAAUUGACCGCCUGGGGAGUACGGUCGCAAGAUUAAAACUCAAAGGAAUUGACGGGGACCCGCACAAGCGGUGGAUGAUGUGGAUUAAUUCGAUGCAACGCGAAGAACCUUACCUGGUCUUGACAUGUACGGAAUCCUCGGAGACGAGGAUGCCUUGGGAGCCGUAACACAGGUGCUGCAUGGCUGUCGUCAGCUCGUGUCGUGAGAUGUUGGGUUAAGUCCCGCAACGAGCGCAACCCUUGUCAUUAGUUGCCAUCAUUCAGUUGGGCACUCUAAUGAGACUGCCGGUGACAAGCCGGAGGAAGGUGGGGAUGACGUCAAGUCCUCAUGGCCCUUAUGACCAGGGCUUCACACGUCAUACAAUGGUCGGUACAGAGGGUAGCCAAGCCGCGAGGCGGAGCCAAUCUCACAAAACCGAUCGUAGUCCGGAUUGCACUCUGCAACUCGAGUGCAUGAAGUCGGAAUCGCUAGUAAUCGCAGGUCAGCAUACUGCGGUGAAUACGUUCCCGGGUCUUGUACACACCGCCCGUCACACCAUGGGAGUGGGGGAUACCAGAAGUAGGUAGGGUAACCGCAAGGAGCCCGCUUACCACGGUAUGCUUCAUGACUGGGGUGAAGUCGUAACAAGGUAGCCGUAGGGGAACCUGCGGCUGGAUCACCU
rnacentral:rRNA from 1 species